UUCAAGGAAAUAAGGGCUUAAGGUGAAUACCUUGGCAUUCAGAAGCGAAGAAGGACGUGG
rnacentral:rRNA from 1 species